rnacentral:rRNA from 1 species
UACAGAGGUCUCAAGCGUUGUUCGGAUUCAUUGGGCGUAAAGGGCGCGUAGGCUGCGGGGCAAGUCGGGUGUGAAAUCUCAGAGCUCAACUCUGAAACUGCACUCGAUACUGCUUUGCUUGAGGACUGGAGAGGAGAUUGGAAUUCCUGGUGUAGCGGUGAAAUGCGCAGAUAUCAGGAGGAACACCGGUGGCGAAGGCGGUUCUCUGGGCCUGGACUGACGCUGAGGAGCGAAAGCGUGGGGAGCGAACAGG